UCUCUUUUCCCAUUCCCUCUCCCCUCCCCGCCCACCCCCUUACCCUUCACCGUACCCCAUUCCCGGCCCCGUGCCGCUCCCCGGCCGAUGCCACCCGGAGCCUCUCAGCGCUCCCGGUCCCACGCACGGUCCGAGUGGCGCUGGGGCUCAGUCCCCGGGUGCGGCCGCGCCCGUGUCUCUGGGGGAAGGGGGAAGGCUGGGACCCACACCGUUCCCCUAUCACCAACCCUGAGAAUCACUCGUCCGUGGGGUGAGGUGGGGGCGAGCUCUGUAAGGAGGACGAGUGAGAGGUGGGCGCUGCCGUAGAGCUCCCACGAUCCCGGGGGCAACGUUGGACACCGCGCGUCCGGCGUAGGGCGGGGGGGGGGGGGGGAGUUCCGUUUGCACACCGCGUUGUGCAGCGCAGUGCGUUUGGGGCUCCGAGUACUCCUUUAUUUAUUUAUUUAUUUCCCCCACUUUUCUCUCUUUUAUUUUUCUUCCCCCUACAGACUGUAUUUCCUAUUCUGGUUACUCUUCCCCCCACCCCCACCCUCUCUCCUUCUUUCUUUCUUUCUUUUUUUCUUCUUUCUUUGUCUUCUUUCUUCUUCGUUUCUUUUAUUCCCCUCUUUUCUCCCCCCCCCCCCCCCCCCUUUUCUCUUUCCUCCUCUUUCCUACUCCUCACCGUCCAUUCCAUAUUCCCAUCACCUCCAUUCCCUCCUCCCCCCACGCAAAGCUGCCCCACUCUUCCCACAUCCCCCAGCGCAGCACUUCGCAAUGAGAACCCCCUCUCAAAGAGCUGUCCCCCAAAAUUCCCGACCCCCCCCCAACGCACACCUGCACUUCAUCACACUUUAAUCACCACCUGCGCUUCGUUGCAUCCCAAUGAGGGCAGCUCCGCCCAGACCGAGGGCACUCCUAAUGCUCGGGGGGUUUUAGGGCAUGAUCUGGGGGGGAAAUUAAGGGGUUUUGAGGGAUAGUGUAGGGAUUUUGGGGGGUGUUGGGGUGGGAGGGGGGGAGGUUAGUGCUUUAGGCUCUAUUAGAGCCCGCUCACGGGCGCGCACUGCCACCUAGUGGGGCUGCGGAGGCUCAGCCCCGGGCAUCCCCUGGAGCUCAGGUGGAGCCGCUCCCGGAGGGGUUAUGGGGGGAGAGACGGCUUUGCUGGGAAGCUGCAGUGCUCUCCGCUUUGUGUGUUUUGUUUUGUUCUUGUUUACCCCCCUUCCCACCCUCCCACCCCCCAUUUCUGGUUUCUCUGUUUUGGGGCCGAAAUCACAGAGCCUCACUUGCAGAGGAGAAAAUCGCUGCGGAGCUUCCGUCAAUCACUGUGAUGCUCUGACAGCCGCUUGGAAACAUGUCUAGUGUGCAACGGGGGCUCCUUUGCGCCUUUAGGACUUCUGGAACGUUUAUUUCCUUAUGGUAAAUCAUCCUCCAGGCCAUGGAGGCCCCGUGAGGAUGCACCGAUCCCCCCCCAGCCCCCCCAUCCCAUCGCGGAUGAGAGGAAGGAAUGGGUCUCACUGGGCUGAGUGCUGCAACAGCAAAAAAAAAAAGGAAGAGUCUUCUGAGCACCCCAACCCUCCUGCAGGCGUCCUGGAAAUCUUUGCUGUCUCUCAGGGGAUCGUAGGAAUCCGAGGAGUUUUCAGCAACAAAUUUCUAGCUAUGUCAAAGAAAGGAAAACUCCAUGCGAGUGCACGCUUCACCGCCGAGUGCCAGUUCCGUGAGCGCUUCCAGGAGAACAGCUACAACACUUACGCCUCAGCUGUGCACCGUGGGCAGCGCUCCGGCCGCCAGUGGUAUGUGGCCCUCAACAAGCGGGGCAAGGCCAAGAGGGGCUGCAGCCCCCGCGCCCGCCCCCAGCACGUCUCCACUCACUUCUUGCCCCGCUUCCGGCAGCCCCCACCAUCCCAGUUGGCUUUCACUGUCGCCCGCCCUGAGAAGAAGCCACCCCCUCCUCCACCGCCACCCAAGAAGAUGGCCACGUCACGACACAGCCCCGGUCCUGGCCGCUACCGGCUAAAGUUUCGCUUUGGGUAGUGGCUCCUCAGGACACUGCAGGGCUGCUGGGUAGGGUGACGCUGGGAUGGACGUGGGAAGGACGUCUGUUGGUAGAGAUGGGACCCACAGUUCAGCUGCUGAUGGUAUUUUGCUGUGGAACCUCCACAAGACCGUGACACCUUCUGUCUACUGCCAGGGGCUGGCUGAGCAUUGAGUUGUCACAGUGCCAUCGUGACAGUCCUCUUCUCUGGGCUGAGCAGACCAUGGGACCUCAGUGUUCCUCACAUGUCUUCCACGUGUAUAUGUAUAUAUGAGCAACAAGAUGUAGGACACACUAGAAGUUCACCAAUAAUCUGGACUGUCUGAGGUCACAUGGCUUCUUCCAAGGUUUCCCAGAUGGGUCCCCCUGAGCCAUCUCUCAUUGCAUUCCGAGUUCACUGUGCUAACAGAACUCUGGGCUGCUGCUGGACGGACGUCUUAUGAACUCAAUCAGAGAGAUGUGAUAUCUUCUGUUAAUUCUUAACAUUUACAGGUACUGAAUUCAGAUUGCAGCCUUCCACGUUGGAGAUGAGGCCUGCAGGGCAAGCGCAGCCCAACACAGCCAUGAUAUCCACGAGGGACUCUGUGCUGUUACUGGCUUUAACUUUACAGCCACAUUAUUUUGAGUGGAAAAGCUGUAAUCAGAACCAAUAGGAACUAAAUAAUGUCUAAGUAAUGAGAAGAAACCCCACACCACUGCCUCGAUGAACGUGCGAAGUGGCAUAGAAGUGUUUAUUUCUACCUAGGAGGAGCACUGCUGCUUCACAUAGGAUGUAACUUCUCACAAUAAGUUCCAUGUGAAUGCAGGAGCUGUGCAGAGCUUCACGUGUUGAACAUUGACAUCAACUUUAAUGCUUGCAGAAGCCUUGGUAAUCCCUUAGAGUGCUAGUUGAGAAAAACCAGCGCUCCCAGAAGAGAGAUGCAACCUUCAGAUUGCUUCUGUUUUGGUGUGCUCUCAGUCUGCACUUGGCACAUGGCUGCCGCUCAGACAUGUGACCAAGUGCUGUUAAACCUAAGCUUAUCUCCUGGCAUAGGAUGUGCACAAGUCAUGUGUGUGCCCCAAAAACCUGGGCUUACUGAUGUUAAGUCUCAGUUAGUAGCAUUAAGAUAGCACAAUUCGCAGAAUUCUACUGGGUGACACCAUUCUGGCCAAUCUCACAAACGCUGUGCUCUCAACUUUUUCACUGCCCUAUGAUAGCUGUUAGGAAAGCGUUACAAAUAAAUGAAGAAUGGAUCAUGAGAAGGAAUUCUGGGUGAUGGAAACACAGCCAUUGGCGUUGGAGGUAUGUCCAAGGAGAAAACAGACCGGUGUGCUGCAAAACACUGCUGCUUACAAAUGACACUACGACUUACUUAAGAGGAAAUCAUCAGUAAACUUUUUUAAGUUCUAAGUUAAUAUGAGGAUCAAGCAAAGUAAUGCUGAGGUCAUAGCAGUAACUUAAACUGUAGAACCAUAGAAUCAUUUGAGUUGGGAAGGACCCUUAAAGGCUACCUAUCUCAACUCCCCUGCAAUGAACAGGGAACCUACAGCGACAGCAGGUGCCCAAAGCCCAUCCAGCCUGACCUUGAGUGUCUCCAGGGAUGGGGCAUCCACCACCUUUCUGGGCAACCUGAGCCAGUGCCUCACCACCCUCCUUGUAAGUGACAACGUGGGGCUCCUUUGUUCAGCCCAGACAGAUUUCACCACGCUUUAAGGGCUUUUCUUGGGCACCCGGAGUGAGGUACCACUAAUGGUCAGAAAGUAAUAUGAGAGGUGUUUUUGCUGUUGUUGUUUUUCAGUAUGCAAAACAAAAAACCAACCAACCAAAAAAAAAAAAAAAACCCACCCAGAUUUCCUCCACAAGGAUUAUUUUAAUUCCUAAUGGAAACGGAUGGAAACAACCUUGUGGAGAAAGCUCCUGUUCUCAUUCUGCACAGAAAUAUUUAUCCUGACUGUUUCCCUUUUGACUGAGGAGCUCAUGGGGCAAUGCCCUCUAGCUGCCUGGAGUGUGCUUUGCCUGCAUAUCCCAAAGCAGCAGUCACUUUGCUGUGAAGAUUCCCAGUGGAAAUCCAUUCUACUCUUCUGUCGGCUGCAGAAGAGACGUGUUGGCCACGUGCUGAACCAGAAUGGGGAAGAGGAUCGAGCUGUGCCCAGCGCUAAUGGAGCAUGGGUUUGGGGCUGCUGCAGCAUCAACUGCUGCUGUAUCCAGUGCUGUCCCAUCAGCUGCUGCCACAUCCAGUGCUGCUCACUGCUCCCCACACACUGCUUUGCCCAGUGAAUGGCUGAAACCUCUUUAUAUCUGCAAAGACUGCAGAGAGCAAAGGGAAGAGGAGGAAAAAAAACCCAAGUGUUUGGAGAUGGUGCACAUUGUGCCCUGGCGCCAUGUGUGGACUUGCUGAGAAAGUGCAGGGCUCUGGGUGCCACCACUGGGGCUGCAGAUAACACCAAUGUGGAACCUUGGCAAUGCCAGAAGUGUCCUUGAAUGUGCCCUGCCUGAUGGAUACCAUACCUCCAGCAUGGACAAAGCUCAGCAGCACAUGUGGUGCCUGUAGGUCUGAAGAUGGGGCCCCACCAGGAUGGCUCUCUCAGCCCAAUCGGAAGAGUGUUGAUGGAUUUUCUUUGGGAUCAAUUGCACUCUCAGCAAGUUUGCGGGUGAAUCCAAGCUGUGUGGUGCAGUUGAUAUGCCUGAGGGAGAGGAUGCCAUCCAGAGAGAGAUAGACAGGCUCAAACGGUGAGCCCAGGUGAACCUCAUGAUGUUCAAUAACACUAAGUGCAACGUAUUGCACCUGGGCUGUGGCAACCCUCACUAUCAGUACAAGCUGGAGAAUGUAAGGAUAAAGUACAUCCCUGCCAAAAAGGACUUGGGGGGUACUGGUGGAUGGCAAGCUGUUCACACGAGCCAGCAAUGUGCCCUCAGGGCCCAGAAAGCCAACUGUAUCCCGGGCUGCAUUGAAAGAAGCGUGGUCAGCAGGGAGAGAGGUGAUCCUGCCCCUCUGCUCUGUACUGGUGAGACCUCACCUGGAGUACUGUGUCUGGAUGUGGAGUUCUCAGUGCAGGAGAGAUGAAGACCUGUUCGGGUGUGUCCA